UCCUGUAUUUGAAGAUAUUCAACAGCUUCGACAAGGAGAUUUCUCUUCGGCUCAAGGACAGCAUCAAGAGUGUGAUGAAUGAGGAAACGAAGAAGGUCAAGGGGUUCCCGGGGGACAACAACGUGCCCUACACAGAGAGGCUGAAAAUCCUGGCCGGCAGCUCAGCACCCUGAAGACCUUCAGAAGCCGGUGUUGUCUAGAUCCUAGCACAAGUUCUACAAGGGAUCCAUCGUCAUCGUCGUUCAUUGAUUCAGAUCCAUUGUGCCAUUGGAAUGACUUGGAUUCUGCCGUUGUCACCAGCCCGAGGUUCAGAUCCUAGACCUUGGCUACUCAGCUAGAAGCUAUGUCAGACCAACUUCAUUUAGUUCUUGAGAUUUUUUGUGGCUUUGGAUUUAUAGUCUACGAGCAAUGCUCAUGCUUCUGUGAUUCCUUCCAGCUCUAAAAUACAUGUAUGCUUUUCUCUAUGAUGUACUACUAAACUAUAUGUGGCCAUCAUAUUUUAGAUAAAUGAUGAUGUGGUAAUGCA